UGCAGGAAGGAGUGACUGUGUUGAACACAAACCAGCUAGCUUCGCUGAUAUCGGUUAAUAUUUGUCUCUACUAUGCGUCUGCAGUGCGCGAAAUAAGGACGAGAGGGACCGAGAGCAGCGGGGAAGGAGAGUCCAGCGGCUGUCAGCGCGUCGCGAUGCCUCUCUUCACGUCCAACCCGUUCGACCAGGAUGUUGAGAAAGCCACCAGUGAGAUGAACACGGCUGAGGACUGGGGUCUCAUCCUGGACAUCUGUGAUAAGAUUGGACAGUCCCGCACUGGGCCCAAAGAAUGUCUUCGCUCCAUCAUGAGGAGAGUCAACCACAAAGAUCCUCACGUAGCCAUGCAGGCACUGACACUGCUGGGAGCCUGCGUCUCAAACUGUGGGAAGAUUUUCCAUUUGGAGGUUUGCUCCAGGGAGUUUGCCAGUGAAGUUAGUAACGUCUUGAACAAGGGCCACCCUAAAGUGUGUGAGAAGCUGAAGGCUCUGAUGGUGGAGUGGGCCGAGGACUUCCGGAACGACCCACAGCUCAGCCUCAUCUCAGCCAUGAUCAAGAACCUGCGAGAGCAGGGCGUCACGUUUCCUGCCGUGGGCUCCCAGGCUGCAGAGCAGGCCAAAGCCAGCCCGGCCCUCGUGGCUAAAGAUCCCUCCACCUCCACCAACAAGAAAGAAGAAGAAGACCUGGCCAAAGCCAUCGAGCUGUCCCUGAAGGAGCACCGGCAGCAGCCUCAGCCGGGCCUCUCUGGUCUCUAUCCCAACACCUCCAGCCUGCUGUCGUCCCACAAAGCCGACGGCAGGAAGGUCCGAGCCAUCUACGACUUCGAGGCUGCUGAGGACAAUGAGCUGACGUUCAAAUCCGGAGAAAUCAUCACCAUCCUGGAUGAUAGUGACCCCAACUGGUGGAAAGGAGAGACCUACCAGGGAGUGGGACUGUUCCCCUCUAACUUCGUCACUGCUGACCUGACUGCAGAGCCUGAGAUGAUGAAGACAGAGAAGAAGACGGUCCAGUUCAGUGAGGACAUUCAGGUGGAGACCAUCGAGCCCGAGCAGGAGCCGGUGUAUAUCGACGAGGACAAAAUGGACCAACUUCUGCAGAUGAUCCAAAGUGCAGAUCCAACAGACAACCAGUCAGACAGUGUGGAGUUACUGCAGCUGGAGGGUGCCUGCAAUCAGAUGGGACCCCUCAUUGACCAGAAGCUGGAGGACAUAGACAGGAAGCACUCCGAGCUGUCUGAGCUCAACGUGAAGGUGAUGGAAGCGCUGUCCCUCUACGCCAAGCUGAUGAAUGAAGACCCGGUGUAUGCCAUGUAUGCCAAGCUGCAGAACCAGCAGUACUACCUGCAGCAGCCUGCCAGCCCAGCACCACAGCUGUCUUGUGAAUCCUUUGCUGAAUGCUUGGAAGCAGAGCUUCAGGGUUACUCCGGGCAGCCCGAGCCCCCCUCGUACCCCAUGAGUGGAGCUGCGGUCCAGACCUACACGGUUCCUGUAGAGCAGCUUCCUGCUGGUCCUGCUGGUCCUGCUGGUCCUGUUCAGCCGCCUCCCAGUGACGUCCACAUGUUCAUCGGCCAGCCGCCAGUCUACACAGCAGCUGCAGGCAGCAUGGCCCCAUCAGACAUUCAGUCCUACCAGAGCCCCGCCGGGGGCCCCGCCCCCUGCCCCGCCCCCUGCCCCGCCCCCUGCCCCGCCCCUGCAGGCAUGAGCCAGACGCCACACUACAGCUCACCAACGGGCGCCAGUAUAGCUCCACCCUCAGAGAGCCCACAGGCCCCCUACUCAGAGAAAGCCCUGCUAUAGGACACACACACACACACACACACACACACACACACACACACACACACCAGAUUUAAUCAAAUGGUUCUGAUUUGCUUCCUGUGUUUGUUUGCUAUUGAACAGCAGUGGAAGAGGUGUUGCUACACUGCUACUGUCACCGUCCAUCACGACCACCACCGGAAGAUCAGCCUUCAGGUCGGAUCAUGCAGACACAGGCCUGACAUAACUGAUACACGUCAGUUUAAAUGGGCAUUACCUUUCUACUGUGUGCUCCACUUUCCUCUGACUAGACGUUGUAGAGUAAGUGAAGCGUGACUUCGUCAAACCCAGAUUUGUGGUAGAAUCUGCCCUCAGCUCUGAAUCUACACUUGCAUACAGUGAAGGUUUGCAGAACAUCUCAGCAGUCCCAGACAGGGAGGCUGGUCAGCAGACCCAUCAUUAGUGUCAGAGCAGGAAGGAACAAAUUCACAUCAAUAAUUAAAAAAAGCUAUAGUCACAUUAAGCUAUAUUCAAAUACAACUUGAAAUUUAGGGUGCAGCUUGUUGAAGUUCUCUCCAGUUCCUGGUCUGGACCUGGUAGUCUGCACUUGUUCGUCUGUGAUCUGUUGAUGUUUUUUUUUUUUUUUAUUUGAGUCUGCAUGCUGUCCCCUGAACAGUCGCUGUCUGAUUAAUUUACCAAGCUGGGAUGUAGACGUGACACAGCAGAUCCUGGGUCUGCUGCAAAAAGCCAAAGCUAUGGUGAGGAAUUACGUUUUCCCUCACAAAACAAAUUCUUCAGCCCUCUUCCUGCUCUUCAGUACAGGAUAGAACAUCUGCAGAAUGAUAGAACUUCUGAAGUUGCUUGUUAGAGAAGACUCUGCUGAGGAAGUCCAAACGGCUCUUUGCUUUCCUGCAGAUUGGCUGUCCAGUCCAGUCCAGUCCAGUCCAGUCCAGUCCAGUCCAGUCCAGUCCAGUCCAGUCCAGUCCAGGCCAGGCCAGUCCAGUCCAGUUUAGUUAUGUCCAAUCUGUCAUCAUAGUUCCCCUUGAUGCUGGGCUCGGUUUGUUGUCCACCACCAUGUCUUCAGACUGGGUGGUGUUGAGGUGCAGGUGGUUGGUCUGAGUCGUGGAUCCGGCUCCUGUUCUCCCCAUACAGCCCACACCACAGUGUCAUCUGGAAACUGCUGCAAAGUUCAGAAUGAACAGAACUGGAAGAAGCUCUUUCCCCUGCUGCAGACCACAGGUCCAGACCUGCAGCAGACCUGCAGACCACAGGUCCAGACCUGCAGCAGACCUGCAGACCACAGGUCCAGACCUGCAGCAGACCUGCAGACCUGCAGCAGACCUGCAGACCACAGUGUCAGGAGCAGGCGCUGGGGAAUCUUCCCGGAACAUGUCCAGAGGUGUCAGACCUGUUUAAAAGCAACACUGUUCAUGUGAACCACGGUGAUGAGAAUGCUCCGAAUAUUUGAGAGAUGUCUGAACAGAACGAGCCUCAUCAGUCCUGUAAUACCAGUGUGGACCACAGGGUGGCGCAGCGAGUGACUCCUCCACUAAGCCUGUUCUGAAGCUGCAUGGGGUUUGAUAAAACUACUGUCCCUCUUUUCUUUUUCUGGUAUUUUAAAAUUGGAGCUUUGGGCCAUUUCAUUUGACUGUUUACUAUUUGAUCAAGUGUGAAAUGGACACACACAUGGCUUAGUAUGAACACACACCUUCUUCACACACUAACAGAUACAUGCACAGACAGACGUGAUGUCCACUGACAGUCAACUCUGUAUUUUACAUUAAAAAAAACUACAUUUAGUGAUGCUGAAGGAAUGACUCUACUACUACAGUGUUUAACAAGUGGACUUUAUACGUAUGGAAAACCGAAGCACCUGGUUUUUUUGAGGAGCUGAAACGAACAAGACAAGAGGAACGACGCCGUCUUCCCUUCCUGAAGUGAGUGAGUUGUUGCUGUUUCCGGCAGGAGCCGUGGCAGCACACCACACUACACCAGCUCCUCAGUGUUGAACAGUGACCAUUCCUCUUCUUUUGCAGUGAAUUUUAAUUUAUGGAUUGAAUGCUGUUGUAAUAUUUUGACCAGAUGAGCAGUGGAAGUUGUACAUAUUCUCAGACUGGAGCCGAGGAUGUGGUAAUUCACCAGUUUUAGUUGUAUAUUUAAAGUGUUUGAACCGUGAACCGUUGUCUGUUUGAUACAUGCUUAUUGUACUGUAGUCACAUGGUAAUGUCUCCCCGGUCCUCCCCCUCAGAGAGCGCUCAGUCCUCUUUUUAGCAGGAAGCCUGCGAAGGCCUCAUCUGAAUCACCUAUUCCACUUUUCUCUACAGAGAACAUCCAACCUGCUUCACACGCUGCUGAAAGUCUAGAGAAUUAACACUUUAUUAAAUAAAAAAUUCACACAAAUCUCACCUGUUCCAUGAUCGUCCCUCUCCUGCCAUGUGAAAGCUGAGUGGCACACACACACACACACGCACACACGCAGAGUCAGAUGAAGGAACUUUGUUCUGCACUGCCGUGAGGAUUUUCCAGGUUUCCUAUAAACUGGACGAACACUGGAGUGCCGGUGGAGGCGUGAGCGGUUUCUGAGGCUCCAGCAUGUGGAGAUCUCUGGGAGGGAACCGUUUCCUGUGGACCGACGCUGCAGUUUGAGCCUCGGCGUGUCUGGACUCAUCCACUCCGUCAGCUCACAGGAGGGAAACUCCAGACGCAGCAGCAGUGUGUGGUGUCAGGAUGAAGGACCUGGACGGCGGGACAGGAAGCCAGUGUAUCAGCCUCUCAUCGGGUCGUGUUCCCAGUGGCACUUUUAGUUCGUUUGUACAGGAUGACAUGCUGCCUGUUCUUAGGUUUCAGAAAUAGACAUGAUUGCAACAGUUCUGUCUUAAACUUGUACCCUGCUGUUUGUAUGUAUUCUUUUAACCAUACUUAUGAUGAAUUGGUAUUCACAAUAAAACCACGCCAAAUGUACAGAGGAA